AUCACCAGACCAUGUUUUUCUCCAUUAGGAGAGGACGAAGGUUGUAGACCAUUGCUGAAUCUUUUAACCAUAACACGUGGUUAAACUCUUAGACUAUCGAUACCGACAGAACAAGUCUUUGAUAUUAAUUACAAGUCUGCAGCUAGGAAUUCGGUAUCAUUGAACGCGAAGAACAACAACCGCCGAAACACCCAUUCUAUAACGAAAUGAACGAAUGUCACUCUGAACUAUUCACAAUAACCACGUAGAGAGAGAGAGGGGGAGAGACGGACAAUUCUACAAAAGAAACAACUUUUCACCAUCGAUCAAGACGACACACUGAGCAACCACAAGAUCUCUUCUGAUGGGGCUGUAAUGGAGCAGGUCGAGAGCUUCAAGUUCCUCAAUGUCCACAUCACACCAUUGUGAAGAGGACACAACAACGCCUCUUCCCCCUCAGGAAAGAGGCGAAGAUUUGUCAUGGACCCUCAGAUCCUCAAAAAGUUAUACAGCUGCACCAUUGAAAACAUAUUGACUAGCUGCAUCACUGCUUGGUAUGGCAACUGCUUGGCAUCCGACCGCAAGGCGCUACAGAGGGUAGUGUGUACGGUCAAGUACAUCACUGGGGCCCGAGCUCCCUGCCAUUUAGGACCUCUAUACUAGGGAGUGUCAGAGGAAGGCCCUAAAAAUUGUCAGACUCCAGCUACCCAAGUCAAAGACUGUUCUCUCUGCUACUGUAUGGCAAGCGAUACCGAUGCACCAAGUCUGGAAGCACUCUGUAUAUACCCAAGUUAUUGUUGCUCAUUGUGUAUUUAUUCCUUGUGUUAUUAUUUUUCUCUCUUCAUUGUUGGGAAGGGCCCGUAAGUAAGCAUUUCACUGUUAGUCUAUACCUGUUUACGAAGCAUGUGACAAAUAACAUUUUAUUUUUGAUGUGUGUGUGUGCAAUUGUGUGGUGGUGACUAAGAAAAUAAAACUCUACCAUGGUC